AUUUUAUUUUUGUGGUUUGAUACAAAUAAAAUUAAAAAUCUGUUCUUAUCCGUUUAAUAGAUAUGUCCUUUAUCUAGGAACCAUAUAUGAAAUUAAUUUUUGGAACAAGAAUGUGGAAUAGGAGUUUGCUCUGGCCACACCAUUUAUUGACCGGUAAUUGUUAUACCUCCAGGAAAGGUGAACUUCUU